rnacentral:rRNA from 1 species
AACGAACGCUGGCGGCAUGCCUAAUACAUGCAAGUCGAACGAGCCCUUCGGGGUUAGUGGCGCACGGGUGCGUAGCGCGUGGGAAUCUGCCCUUGGGUUCGGAAUAACGUCUGGAAACGGACGCUAAUACCGGAUGAUGACGAAAGUCCAAAGAUUUAUCGCCCAGGGAUGAGCCCGCGUAGGAUUAGCUAGUUGGUGAGGUAAAGGCUCACCAAGGCGACGAUCCUUAGCUGGUCUGAGAGGAUGAUCAGCCACACUGGGACUGAGACACGGCCCAGACUCCUACGGGAGGCAGCAGUAGGGAAUAUUGGACAAUGGGGGCAACCCUGAUCCAGCAAUGCCGCGUGAGUGAUGAAGGCCUUAGGGUUGUAAAGCUCUUUUACCCGGGAUGAUAAUGACAGUACCGGGAGAAUAAGCCCCGGCUAACUCCGUGCCAGCAGCCGCUGUAACAC